CCUACGGGAGGCAGCAGUGGGGAAUAUUGCACAAUGGAGGGAACUCUGAUGCAGCGACGCCGCGUGAGUGAAGAAGUAAUUCGUUAUGUAAAGCUCUAUCAGCAGGGAAGAAAGUGACGGUACCUGAAAAAGAAGCUCCGGCUAAAUACGUGCCAGCAGCCGCGGUAAUACGUAUGGAGCAAGCGUUAUCCGGAUUUACUGGGUGUAAAGGGAGAGUAGGUGGCAGAGCAAGUCCGAAGUGAAAACCCAUGGCUUAACCAUGGAACUGCUUUGGAAACUGUGCAGCUGGAGUGCAGGAGAGGUAAGCGGAAUUCCUAGUGUAGCGGUGAAAUGCGUAGAUAUUAGGAGGAACACCAGUGGCGAAGGCGGCUUACUGGACUGUAACUGACGUUGAGGCUCGAAAGCGUGGGGAGCAAACAGGAUUAGAUACCCUGGUAGUC
rnacentral:rRNA from 1 species